rnacentral:SRP_RNA from 1 species
GUCCAGGAGCCCAACAAUACUGCCCAGUGAACUUUGUCAGGACCGAAAGGUAGCAGCAAUAAGCAGGGAUGUGUAUGGGUUUGGGAUUUCCUGGGCCUU